rnacentral:rRNA from 1 species
AGAUUGAACGCUGGCGGCAGGCCUAACACAUGCAAGUCGAGCGGCAGCACGGGUACUUGUACCUGGUGGCGAGCGGCGGACGGGUGAGUAAUGCCUAGGAAUCUGCCUGGUAGGUGGGGGAUAACGCUCGGAAACGGACGCUAAUACCGCAUACGUCCUACGGGAGAAAGCGAGGGGACCUUCGGGCCUUGCGCUAUCAGAUGAGCCUAGGUCGGAUUAGC